rnacentral:tRNA from 1 species
GGAGGGGUGGCUGAGCGGUUGAAAGCACCGGUCUUGAAAACCGGCGGCGGCGUAAGUCGCCCGUGGGUUCGAAUCCCACCCCCUCCGCCA